rnacentral:rRNA from 1 species
UACGGAGGGUGCAAACGUUGCUCGGAAUUAUUGGGGCGUAAAGCGCACGUAGGCGGUCCAGCAAGUCGGGGUGUGAAAAGCCCUCGGCUUAACCGAGGAAGUGCAUUCGAAAACUACUGGACUUGAAUACUGGAGAGGAUCGCGGAAUUCCCGGUGUAGAGGUGAAAUUCGUAGAUAUCGGGAGGAACACCAGUGGCGAAGGCGGCGAUCUGGGACAGAUAUUUGACGCUGAGGUGCGAAAAGCGUGGGGGGAGCAAAACAGG